rnacentral:rRNA from 1 species
UACGGAGGGAGCUAGCGUUGUUCGGAAUUACUGGGCGUAAAGCGCGCGUAGGCGGCUUUGUAAGUUAGAGGUGAAAGCCCGGGGCUCAACUCCGGAACUGCCUUUAAGACUGCAUCGCUAGAAUCCGGGAGAGGUGAGUGGAAUUCCGAGUGUAGAGGUGAAAUUCGUAGAUAUUCGGAAGAACACCAGUGGCGAAGGCGGCUCACUGGACCGGGUAUUGACG